rnacentral:rRNA from 1 species
CGGCAUACUGGCCCCGUAACUUCGGGAGAAGGGGCGCCGCCGGGGGUGGAGGCACACGCUGCCCGAGCCCCUGGCGGCCGCAGCGAAACGGCCCAAGCGACUGUUUAUCAAAAACACAGGACUCUGCAAAGCCGCAAGGCGACGUAUAGGGUCUGACGCCUGCCCGGUGCCGGAAGGUCACGGGGAUCCGUCAGCCGCAAGGCGAAGCGGUGAACCCAAGCCCCGGUAAACGGCGGCCGUAACUAUAACGGUCCUAAGGUAGCGAAAUUCCUUGUCGGGUAAGUUCCGACCUGCACGAAUGGCGUAACGAUUUGGGCGCUGUCUCAACCAUGGACCCGGUGAAAUUGUAUUAUUCGUGAAGAUGCGAAUUACCUGCGGAAGGACGGAAAGACCCCGUGAACCUUCACUGCAGCUUGGCAUUGGCCGUUGGCACGGAGCGUAGAGGAUAGGCGGGAGCCGUGGAAGCGGGGGCGCAAGCCCCCGUGGAGGCGACCUUGGAAUACCGCCCCCUUCGUGCCGGCGGCCUAACCCCCGGCCGUCAUCCGGCGGGGGGACCGUGCCAGGCGGGUAGUUUGACUGGGGCGGUCGCCUCCCAAAACGUAACGGAGGCGCGCAAAGGUCCGCUCAGGACGGUCGGCAACCGUCCCGAGAGCGCAAGAGUGCAAGCGGGCUUGACUGCGAGGCAGACACGCCGAGCAGGGACGAAAGUCGGUUCUAGUGAUCCGGCGGCUCAGAGUGGAAUGGCCGUCGCUCAACGGAUAAAAGGUACUCCGGGGAUAACAGGCUGAUCUUGCCCAAGAGUCCACAUCGACGGCAAGGUUUGGCACCUCGAUGUCGGCUCAUCGCAUCCUGGGGCUGGAGUCGGUCCCAAGGGUAUGGCUGUUCGCCAUUCAAAGCGGUACGCGAGCUGGGUUCAGAACGUCGUGAGACAGUUCGGUCCCUAUCCUCCGCAGGCGCAAGGGAAUUGAGGAGAUCUGCCCCUAGUACGAGAGGACCGGGGUGGACGGACCUCUGGUGGAGCGGUCGUCGACCAACGGCGCCGCCGCCUGGCUACGUCCGGAACGGAUAACCGCUGAAAGCAUCUAAGUGGGAAGCCGCCUCCAAGAUGAGUUCCCUCUCCGGUAAGGCCCCUCGUAGACCACGAGGUUGAUAGGCCGCAGCUGCAAGCACGGCGACGUGUUCAGGCGGGCGGUACUAAUCGGCCGAGCUCUUCUCUUC